CCUACGUGGGGCAGCAGUGGGGAAUAUUGCGCAAUGGGCGAAAGCCUGACGCAGCGACGCCGCGUGAGGGAUGAAGGUCUUCGGAUCGUAAACCUCUGUCAGCAGGGAAGAACGGUCACUGUGCUAAUCAGCAGUGAAUUGACGGUACCUGCAAAGGAAGCACCGGCUAACUCCGUGCCAGCAGCCGCGGUAAUACGGAGGGUGCGAGCGUUAAUCGGAAUUACUGGGCGUAAAGCGCUCGUAGGCGGUAUGUCAAGUCAAGGGUGAAAUCCCCGCGCUCAACGUGGGAACUGCCUUUGAAACUGGCAAACUGGAGUGUGUGAGAGGAUAGUGGAAUUCCAGGUGUAGGAGUGAAAUCCGUAGAUAUCUGGAGGAACAUCAGUGGCGAAGGCGACUAUCUGGCACAUAACUGAUGCUGAGGAGCGAAAGCGUGGGUAGCAAACAGGAUUAGAUACCCCAGUAGUC
rnacentral:rRNA from 1 species